UUCAGAUAAAUGAGCUCUGUGUCCACGAGUUCUGCCUGUUUUUUGCCAGCCACCUUCCUCAGCACAAUGAUGGUCAAGUAGGACUCUUUGGCUUUCUCCCAAGGGAUAUCCUAGACGUAGUUUCCUCGGUGGCACAGAAGAGCUGCUGCAUCUGUGGCCAGAGAGGGGCCACCAUUUCCUGCUGCAGAAGACACUGUGACCUGAGCUUCCACCUGCCCUGUGCCAGUCAGGGAGGCUGUGUCACCCAGUUCUGCAGACCAUUCAGGUACCUGCUGUCCCUUCCUUAC